AGAGUUUGAUCCUGGCUCAGGACGAACGCUGGCGGCGUGCUUAACACAUGCAAGUCGAGCGAUGAAGCUCCUUCGGGAGUGGAUUAGCGGCGGACGGGUGAGUAACACGUGGGCAACCUGCCUUGUAGAGAGGAAUAGCCAUUCGAAAGGAUGAUUAAUACCUCAUAAUAUUGUAGCUUCGCACGAAGCAACAAUCAAAGGAGCAAUCCACUAUAAGAUGGGCCCGCGGCGCAUUAGCUAGUUGGUGAGGUAACGGCUCACCAAGGCGACGAUGCGUAGCCGACCUGAGAGGGUGAUCGGCCACAUUGGGACUGAGACACGGCCCAGACUCCUACGGGAGGCAGCAGUGGGGAAUAUUGCACAAUGGGGGAAACCCUGAUGCAGCAACGCCGCGUGAGUGAUGACGGUCUUCGGAUUGUAAAGCUCUGUCUUCAGGGACGAUAAUGACGGUACCUGAGGAGGAAGCCACGGCUAACUACGUGCCAGCAGCCGCGGUAAUACGUAGGUGGCAAGCGUUGUCCGGAUUUACAGGGCGUAAAGGGAGCGUAGGCGGAUUUUUAAGUGGGAUGUGAAAUACCCGGGCUUAACCUGGGUGCUGCAUUCCAAACUGGAAGUCUAGAGUACAGGAGGGGAAAGCGGAAUUCCUAGUGUAGCGGUGAAAUGCGUAGAGAUUAGGAAGAACACCAGUGGCGAAGGCGGCUUUCUGGACUGUAACUGACGCUGAGGCUCGAAAGCGUGGGGAGCGAACAGGAUUAGAUACCCUGGUAGUCC
rnacentral:rRNA from 1 species